GGUGCCUUCAUAUAUAAAAAGGAGGGGGUGUGUGCAUUAGGAAGCAUGAGAGGCUAAGAUGCAAUUUAGAGAAAAUUGCAACUUUUGGCCCAAAGGUUUGAAUAAUUAAAUUCAAACCUAUAGUUUUUUUUUAAUAUAAUUUUGGGACUCACAAUCCCAUUUUUAUAUUAUUUUUCUCUCUUCCUCUCACGUUGCUCGGCGUUUUCUCACAAGGGGGGAUUAUUUUCUUUUUCUUCAGAUUAUAUUGACAAAGAUAGUGGUGAAAAAGGAGUUGUGAAGGGGAACUUGUUAUUCAAGACACAAGGAACGAGUCCGGCCGAGAAAGCACCAGAGGUGUAACUAUGGUGUAUUAAACACCAUCUUUUACGUUGCCUCUUAUUUUGGAUUAUACAAUGUAUCUUGUGCCAACUUAGGACAUAUCUUCUUUGUGAAGCAUGUAAACUCUAAUCCUUUUUAUUAAAAGUA